UGGGGAAUUUUGGACAAUGGGCGAAAGCCUGAUCCAGCAAUGCCGCGUGUGUGAAGAAGGCCUUCGGGUUGUAAAGCACUUUUGUCCGGAAAGAAAUCCUUGGCUCUAAUACAGUCGGGGGAUGACGGUACCGGAAGAAUAAGCACCGGCUAACUACGUGCCAGCAGCCGCGGUAAUACGUAGGGUGCAAGCGUUAAUCGGAAUUACUGGGCGUAAAGCGUGCGCAGGCGGUUUGCUAAGACCGAUGUGAAAUCCCCGGGCUCAACCUGGGAACUGCAUUGGUGACUGGCAGGCUAGAGUAUGGCAGAGGGGGGUAGAAUUCCACGUGUAGCAGUGAAAUGCGUAGAGAUGUGGAGGAAUACCGAUGGCGAAGGCAGCCCCCUGGGCCAAUACUGACGCUCAUGCACGAAAGCGUGGGGAGCAAAACAGGAUUAGAUACCCUGGUAGUCCACGCCCUAAAACGAUGUCAACUAGUUGUUGGGGAUUCAUUUCCUUAGUAACGUNGCUAACGCGUGAAGUUGACCGCCU
rnacentral:rRNA from 1 species